rnacentral:rRNA from 1 species
CCUACGGGUGGCUGCAGUAGGGAAUCUUCCGCAAUGGACGAAAGUCUGACGGAGCAACGCCGCGUGAGCGAAGAAGGUCUUCGGAUCGUAAAGCUCUGUUGUUAGGGAAGAACAAGUACGGAAGGAAAGGACCGUACCUUGACGGUACAUAACGAGGAAGCCACGGCUAACUACGUGCGAGCAGCCGGGGUAAUACGUAGGGGGCAAGCGUUGUCCGGAAUUAGUGGUCGUAAAGGGCGCGGAGGCGGUCCGUUAAGUCCGUUGGGAGAUCUUGCGGCUCAACCGCAAGUGGUCAUUGGAAACUGGGAGACUUGAGUGCAGAAGAGGAAAGCGGAAUUCCACGUGUAGCGGUGAAAUGCGUAGAGAUGUGGAGGAACACCAGUGGCGAAGGCGGCUUUCUGGUCUGUAACUGACGCUGAGGCGCGAAAGCGUGGGGAGCAAACAGGAUUAGAUACCCGAGUAGUC